rnacentral:sRNA from 1 species
AGCCGGGGACCGGCGUGGUGCUGGCACUGUCUGGGCCAGAGCCUGGGGAGCUGGCACCUGCCGAGCUGGAGAUGCUGUCCCGGAGCCUGAUGGGGACACUGUCGAAGCUGGCACGGGAGCGUGACCUGGGGGUCCAGCGGCUGGCUGAACUGCUGCUGGAGCGAGAACCCCUCUGCUUGAGGCCUGAGGCUCCCUCUAGGGCUCCCGCUGAGGGCCCCUCGCACCAUCUGGCCCUGCAGCUGGCCAACGCCAAGGCUCAGCUGCGGCGUCUGCGGCAGGAGCUGGAGGAGAAGGCCGAGCUGCAGCUAGACUCCCAGGCCGAGGUGCAGGGUUUGGAGGCCGAAAUAAGAAGGCUCCGCCAGGAGCUCCACACCGUCUGGCCCAGGCCCAGGCGCUGUCGGGACAGGCCAAGCGGGCCGAGCUGUACCGCGAGGAGGCAGAGGCGCUGCGGGAGCGGGCCAGCCGCCUGCCCCGCCUGCAGGAGGAGCUGAGGCGCUGCCGCGAGCGACUGCAGGCGGCUGAGGCCUGCAAGAACCAGCUGGAGGAGGAGCGGGUGCUCUCAGGGGUGCUGGAGGCCUCCAAGGCGCUGCUGGAAGAGCAGCUGGAGGCUGCCCGAGAGCGCUGCGCCCGGCUGCACGAGACCCAGCGCGAGAACCUGCUGCUGCGGACCCGGCUGGGCGAGGCCCAUGCGGAGCUGGACUCUCUGCGGCAUCAGGUGGACCAGCUGGCUGAGGAGAAUGUGGAGCUGGAGCUGGAGCUUCAGCGGAGCUUGGAGCCACCUCCAGGAUCCCCUGGGGAGGCACCCCUGGCAGGAGCGGCCCCCUCGCUGCAAGAUGAGGUGAGGGAGGCAGAGGCUGGGCGGCUUCGGACACUUGAGAGGGAGAACCGGGAGCUUCGGGGGCUGCUUCAGGUGCUUCAGGGGCAGCCAGGGGGCCAGCACCUCCUGCUGGAGGCGCCAAGAGAGGACCCUGUGCUUCCGGUGCUGGAGAAGGCUCCCCAGACUCCUGUGGCCUCCGACCACAGCCCUCAGGGCUUGGUUCAGAAGGCAAGCGAUGGAGGCCCCCAGGCCUUGGACUUGGCUCCCCCAGCAUUAGACUCAGUGCUCGAGGGGUCAGCUGAGUGUCCCCAGGCACCUGAUUCAGACCCACAGGAGGCAGAGAGUUCCCUUCAGACAGCUGCCAUGGACCCCCAGGCCUCAGACUGGUCCCCCCAAGAGUCAGGCUCUCCUGUGGAGACACAGGAGUCCCCGGAGAAGGCUGGCCAUAGAUCCUCUCUCCAGAGCCCUGCCUCUGUGGCCCCACCUCAGAGUCCAGGGACCAAAAUUCAGGCCCCGCAGUUACUGGGAGGAGAGACCAACGGAAGAGAGGCUCCCCAAGGUGAAUUGGUGCCUGAGGCCUGGGGGUUGAGACAGGAGGGCCCUGAGCACAAGCCAGGGCCUUCGGAGCCCAGCUCUGUGCAGCUGGAGGAGCAGGAGGGCCCAAACCAGGGCCUGGACCUGGCCACGGGACAAACAGAGGCCAGAGAGCAUAACCAGAGGCUGGAAGGGACGGUCGGGGACCCAGCCUGGCAAAAACCACAGCAGAAGUCAGAAGGGGCUCUUGAGGUCCAGGCCUGGGAAGGCCCAAUCCCAGGCGAGAGCCUGGCCAGUGGUGUCGCAGAGCAGGAGGCCCUCAGGGAGGAGGUGGCACAGUUGAGGAGAAAGGCUGAGGCCCUUGGAGCUGAGCUGGAAGCCCAGGCCCGCAAGCUGGAGGCCCAAGACACGGAGACUGCCCGCCUCUCCAAGGAGCUGGCCCAAGCGCGAAGGGCAGAGGCCGAGGCCCACCGGGAGGCAGAGGCCCAGGCCUGGGAGCAAGCCCGGCUGCGGGAGGCAGUGGAGGCUGCCGGCCGGGAGCUGAAGGCUGCGUCCCAGGAACGGGAGGCGCUGGUGGAGGCGCUGGCAGCAGCGGGCCGGGAGAGGAGGCAGUGGGAGCGUGAGGGGUCCAGGCUGCGGGCCCAGUCGGAGGCCACCGAGGAACGGAUGCAGGCGCUGGAGAGCGAGGGCCGCCAGCACUUGAAGGAGGCUGAGAAGGAGCGCCGGGAGAAGGAGGCCCUCCAGGCGGAGCUGGAGAAAGCUGUGGUGCGGGGCAAGGAAUUGGGGGCCCGGCUGGAGCAUCUGCAGCGUGAGCUGGAGCAGGCGGCUCUCGAGCGCCGGGAAUUUCUGCGAGAACAGGAAAGCCAGCACCAGAGGUACCAGGGCUUGGAGCAGCGGCUGGAAGCUGAGCUGCAGGCGGCGGCGACCAGCAAGGAGGAGGCGCUGAUGGAGCUCAAGACCAGGGCCCUGCAGCUGGAAGAGGAGCUGUUCCAGCUGCGCCAGGGCCCCUCAGGGCUGGGGCCCAAAAUGUGUGCGGAGCCUCGGCUGGUGGAGACCCAGAACGUGCGGCUUAUCGAGGUGGAGCGCAGUGUGAGUGUGGGCCCACAGUGGGCCCUGGGGAGGUGCCCCCUGCAGUGUGAGUGUGGGUCCACAGUGGACCCUGGGCUGGGGGGUAUCCCGUGCAGUGUGGGUGUGGACUCAGGCCCGGGGGUGGGGGUGCCCCAUGCAGUGUGAGUGUGGGCCUGUGGUAGGCACUGGGGGGUGCCCCCGCCACCUGGCUACCGCUAACCCCCACUUCUGGGCAGAAUGCGACGCUGGUGGCAGAGAAGGCAGCUUUGCAGGGGCAGCUGCAGCACCUGGAGGGGCAGCUGGGGAGCCUGCAGGGCCGUGCCCAGGAGCUGCUGCUGCAGAGCCAGCGGGCGCAGGAGCACAGCAGCCGCCUGCAGGCCGAGAAGUCUGUGCUGGAGAUUCAGGGCCAGGAGCUGCACCGGAAGCUGGAGGUGCUGGAGGAGGAGGUGCGGGCGGCACGGCAGUCCCAGGAGGAGACCCGUGGGCAGCAGCAGGCCCUGCUUCGGGACCACGAGGCCCUGGCACAGCUGCAGCGGCGGCAGGAGGCCGAGCUAGAGGGACUGCUGGUGCGGCACCGAGACCUCAAGGCCAACAUGCGGGCACUGGAGCUGGCCCACCGGGAGCUGCAGGGCCGGCAUGAGCAGCUGCAGGCCCAGCGGGCCAGCGUGGAGGCACAGGAGGUGGCCCUGCUGGCAGAGCGUGAACGCCUGAUGCAGGAUGGGCAUCGGCAGCGGGGCCUGGAGGAGGAGCUGCGGAGGCUUCAGAGCGAGCACGACAGGGCUCAGAUGCUGCUGGCAGAGGUGUCUCGGGAGCGGGGUGAGCUGCAGGGUGAACGCGGGGAGCUACGGGGCCGGCUGGCGCGGCUGGAGCUGGAGCGGGCACAGCUGGAGAUGCAGAGCCAGCAGCUGCGCGAGUCCAACCAGCAGCUGGACCUGAGCGCCUGCCGGCUGACCACGCAGUGUGAGCUAUUGACACAGCUGCGAAGUGCCCAGGAAGAGGAGAACCGGCAGCUGCUGGCUGAAGUUCAGGCCCUGAGCCGGGAGAACAGGGAGCUCCUGGAGCGCAGCCUGGAGAGCCGGGACCACCUGCACCGCGAACAGCGGGAGUACCUGGACCAGCUUAAUGCCCUGCGCCGCGAGAAGCAGAAGCUCGUGGAGAAGAUCAUGGACCAAUAUCGCGUGCUGGAGCCUGGGCCCCUGCCCCGGACCAAGAAGGGCAGCUGGCUGGCAGACAAGGUGAAGAGGCUGAUGCGGCCCCGGCGGGAGGGGGGCCCCCCUGGGGGGCUGCGCCUGGGGGCCGAUGGGGCUGGCAGCACCGAGAGCCUGGGGGGCCCCCCGGAGACGGAGCUUCCUGAGGGCAGGGAGGCAGAUGGGACAGGGUCCCCUUCCCCAGCACCCAUGCGCCGGGCCCAGAGCUCCCUCUGCCUGCGGGAUGAGACCUUGGCAGGCGGGCAGCGGCGGAAACUCAGCUCAAGGUUCCCGGUGGGGCGAAGCUCUGAGUCAUUCAGCCCUGGGGACACCCCUAGGCAACGAUUCCGACAGCGCCGUCCAGGCCCCCUGGGGGCACCCAUCUCCCACAGCAAAGGACCUGGUGUGGGAUGGGAGAACUCCGCUGAGACCCUCCAGGAGCACGAAACAGAUGCCAGCCGAGAGGGCCCCGAGGUACAGGAACCGGAGAAACGUCCCCUCACCCCGUCCCUCAGCCAGUGACGCCGUGGGGACAGCAGGCUUGGGAGUGCAGCCUUCUCGGCACUGGAGUGUCAGCGGAGGCCCCAGGCAGCCCAAGAGCUCAGGGAGCCAGGGCCCCCAAGGGGAGUCUUUGGACAAGGAGGCCUGGGCCCUGAGAUCCUCCACGGUCAGCGCCGGGGCCCGGAGAUGGAGCCGGGACGAGUGUGUGGACAGGGGGGACGGCUGGCCCCCACGAGCAGCUCCAGGCCGGGGUUCUGCUUCUUCCAGGUGGCUCCCGCUGAGGCAGCGGUCUCUGGGGGAUCCCCCAGCUGAAGGAGGCCGGCAGGAGUUGGCAAGAGAACCCCCUGCCCUGUCCAGGUGGAGAGCUGAGUCCCAGUACUGGGGGACUGUGGCCUGGGCUGAUCUUGAGCCUUAACUGGACAUGAGGGACAUGAGAAUAAAGCUGAACUGC